rnacentral:rRNA from 1 species
UGGGGAAUAUUGGACAAUGGGCGAAAGCCUGAUCCAGCCAUGCCGCGUGUGUGAAGAAGGUCUUCGGAUUGUAAAGCACUUUAAGUUGGGAGGAAGGGCAGUAAGCGAAUACCUUGCUGUUUUGACGUUACCGACAGAAUAAGCACCGGCUAACUCUGUGCCAGCAGCCGCGGUAAUACAGAGGGUGCAAGCGUUAAUCGGAAUUACUGGGCGUAAAGCGCGCGUAGGUGGUUCGUUAAGUUGAAUGUGAAAGCCCCGGGCUCAACCUGGGAACUGCAUCCAAAACUGGCGAGCUAGAGUAGGGCAGAGGGUAGUGGAAGUUCCUGUGUAGCGGUGAAAUGCGUAGAUAUAGGAAGGAACACCAGUGGCGAAGGCGACCACCUGGGCUCAUACUGACACUGAGGUGCGAAAGCGUAGGGAGCAAACAG